UCAGGUUCUUACCUAUUAACAAGAUCUUACUUAAAAUUACAGGUCAUGGGCAUCAUCAACCUAGUCCUUGACUUGCAGCUAAAAAAGGCAAAAGGUCUGUGUGAAGUGACAGAAGAGCACACCCUACUCAUGUCAUGAGCAAGGAAUCAAAGUCGAAGAACAGUAACAGUCUUGACAUCAGCACUGUAAGAAUUACUCUGCAGUAAACUCCAACCCAGAAUGGGGAAGAAUACUGAAUUAGCUGAGCACAUUCUGGACACAAUUCUGACCAAUUUCAGUCUCAUGAUCUCUGUUGGAGCAGGUUUCAUUCUCCAAUUCUCUUUUACAGAACAGCAGAACUCGAGCCUUCAUAAAAGUGAUUAACGGCCUUUCCGCUUCUUCAUUUUUCCUCCAGCCACCUUGUUCCUGACACCAAUAGCACCCUCUGUGUCAUCAUUAUCUCCAGCAUCCUCUCGCGAGCGUUUCUUCUUUUCUCCAUGCUCCCUUAACUCCUGCAAGAAAAAAAGAGAGGAUGGGAUUGAAAAUGAAUUACUGGCACUGAAGGUUACUC
rnacentral:lncRNA from 1 species